rnacentral:rRNA from 1 species
GCCAACGGCUCCACCACGCGGAAAGCACCGGUUCACGUUAGAUCACCGAAGUUAAACUGCGUUGGACACGGUCAGUGCCC